CCUACGGGUGGCAGCAGUGGGGGAUAUUGCACAAUGGGCGCAAGCCUGAUGCAGCCAUGCCGCGUGUGUGAAGAAGGCCUUCGGGUUGUAAAGCACUUUCAGCGGGGAGGAAGGCGUUAAGGUUAAUAACCUUGUCGAUUGACGUUACCCGCAGAAGAAGCACCGGCUAACUCCGUGCCAGCAGCCGCGGUAAUACGGAGGGUGCAAGCGUUAAUCGGAAUUACUGGGCGUAAAGCGCACGCAGGCGGUCUGUCAAGUCGGAUGUGAAAUCCCCGGGCUCAACCUGGGAACUGCAUUCGAAACUGGCAGGCUAGAGUCUUGUAGAGGGGGGUAGAAUUCCAGGUGUAGCGGUGAAAUGCGUAGAGAUCUGGAGGAAUACCGGUGGCGAAGGCGGCCCCCUGGACAAAGACUGACGCUCAGGUGCGAAAGCGUGGGGAGCAAACAGGAUUAGAUACCCGAGUAGUC
rnacentral:rRNA from 1 species